rnacentral:rRNA from 1 species
CCUACGGGAGGCAGCAGUGGGGGAUAUUGCACAAUGGGGGAAACCCUGAUGCAGCGACGCCGCGUGUAGGAAGACGGGCAGAGGGAGGGUAAACUACUGUCCCCAGGGACGAAGAUGACGGUACCUGGGGAGGAAGCUCCGGCUAACUACGUGCCAGCAGCCGCGGUAAUACGUAGGGAGCGAGCGUUGUCCGGAAUUACUGGGUGUAAAGGGAGCGUAGGCGGGGAUGCAAGUUGGGUGUUAAAUCUACCGGCUCAACUGGUAGUCGCACUCAAAACUGCAGCUCUUGAGUGAAGUAGAGGCAGGCGGAAUUCCUAGUGUAGCGGUGAAAUGCGUAGAUAUUAGGAGGAACACCAGUGGCGAAGGCGGCCUGCUGGGCUUUUACUGACGCUGAGGCUCGAAAGUGUGGGGAGCAAACAGGAUUAGAUACCCCAGUAGUC